UCCGUAGGGGGCUAGCGUUGUCCGGAUUUCUUGGGCGUAAAGAGCGUGUAGGCGGCCAGGUAGGUCUGCUGUGAAAACUCGAGGCUCAACCUCGAGAUGUCGGCUGAAACCAUCUGGCUAGAGUCCGGAAGAGGAGAGUGGAAUUCCUGGUGUAGCGGUGAAAUGCGCAGAUAUCAGGAAGAACACCCGUGGCUAAGGCGGCUCUCUAGUACGGUACUGACGCUGAGACGCGAAAGCGUGGGGAGCGAACAGG
rnacentral:rRNA from 1 species